rnacentral:lncRNA from 1 species
GUGAGUGCAAUCUGAAGGGUUUGGGUAGAUUUGAACUAGACUUUCUUAACCCUCGAACGGGCCGUUCAAAUCUUGGUGAAAUGCCAGGCAUUUCGAGCCAUUGCAGGCUCCUGACUGUAUUUCUAGUUUUUGUGGAGCUGAAACAGGAGGAGUGCAAGUCUGAGAAAUCAGGGCAGUUUGGUGAAAUAUUAUCUCAGAAUAAAACAUGCCGGUGCUAGGCUUGGUGACACACAACUUGGAUCCCAGUACUUGGGAGACACAGGCAGAGGCAAGAGGAUCUCUGUGAGUUUAAGGUUAGCCUGGUCUAUAUAGCAAGCUCCAGGCCGGCCAAGACUGCAUACUGAGACCCUGUCAAUAAACAAACAAACAAAUAAACAAACAUAAGAAGUAUUGGCAUGGAGAGAUGACUCUGUGGUUAAGAACAUUUCUUGUGUCAAACUUUUUUGUUGUUUUUAAAGAUAUUUAUUUAUUUAUUUAUUUAUUUAUUUAUUUAUUUAUUUAUUUAUUUAUAUGAGUACGCUGUCACUGUCUUCAGACACACGAGAAGAGGGCAUUGUAUCUCAUUAUAGAGGGUUGUGAGCUACCAUGUAGUUGUUGGGAAUUGAACUCAGGAUCUCUGGAAGAGCAGUCAGUGCUCUUAUCCAUUGAGCCAUCUCCCCAGCCUGUGUCAAAAACUUUUAAUCCCAGAACUGAGGAGACAGAGACAGGCAGAUCUCUGUAACUUUUUUUUUUAAUUUAUUUAUUUAUCAUAUGUAAGUACAUUGUAGCUGUCUUCAGACACUCCAGAAGAGUGCGUCAGAUCUCAUUACAGAUGGUUGUGAGCCACCAUGUGGUUGCUGGGAUUUGAACUCAAGACCUUUGGAAGAGCAGUCAGUGCUCUUACCCGCUGAGCCAUCUUGCCAGCCCAGAUCUCUGUAACUUUUAGGCUAGCCUGGUCUACAGAGUAAAUUCCAGGAUAUCCAGAGCUGCAUAAUAGAGAGAACUUGUCUCAAAACAAAACACAAACAGACAAACAAAAACCAAUCAAACCAAAAUAACACUUUGGUUUCGUUCUUGCAAAGGACCUGAGUCCAGUGCCCAGCACCUACACAGUGGCUGAGGACCAUGCAUAAGUCCAGUUCCAGGGCACCCAAUGCCCAUUUCUGACUUCCAAGGCCACCAGGCACAUAUGUGGCACACAUACAUAUAUGCAGGCACUCAUGCAUACACUUAAAAUAAAAAUAGAUCUUUUACAAACAAUAUCAACAAAACCCAGAGAGGCUGGAGAGAUGCUCAGUGGUCAAGAGUGCUUACUAUUCUUUCAAAGUACUUGAGUUAGGACCCCAGGACCCAUGUCUGGCAGCUUAAAAAUGCCUAGAAUUCUAAUUGUAGGGGAAUCUGACACCCUCUUCUGGCUUCUAGGGGCUGCAGCAUACAUACAUACAUACAUACAUACAUACAUACAUACAUACAUAC